AGCAAGUCCUCAGAAAAGCUUGGAGAUCCCCUUCAGAGGUGCUGACUCAUUUCUCCUUCCUAUCUAAGCAUGUGUUGCCGGAGAAACCACGAAAAGAAAUUGGAUUACAGAAAAUAUGAAACUCAUCCUUGUUCAUGUAUGCAAUAACAAACAAAAGAGAAAGGCAUUCUGGGAGCCUUCAUCCAGUAGCUGAUGGAAGCAGAAGCAGACAAUAACAGCUAAACACUCAACUGAACUUCUGGAAUAUAGUUGCAGAAAGGGAAGUGUGAUGAGCAAUGGGGUGAAAACCAGACUGGUGAAACCCACAGAAACAGCUGUCCUGAACCAUGGAGAUCUCUUGGCCCCCAGAUUCAUCACUGAGAAAGCAGCAUGGAACUCAUACAGGCGCCAUGAAUGUGGGUAUCAGGGUAGGGGCCUUGGGAAAUCUAUAGGGCCACUUGUAGAAGUUCAGUAUUUUUCCCUAGCACAGGAAUGGACUUUCAGAGCCCUUUUCACAUAGAGGGAUACUCCCUUAGCCUAGACACAAGAGGGUGGGCUUAUGCCCUAUCCCUGAGUGUAUGAGAGACCCUGGAGACCCCUAUUUUAGGUUGUUUUUUGUGAGGGGCAGGCAGGAGGUGAUGGAGAGGGAUCUGGUGUUGACAUGUUAAACAAUUAUGUAUCUCAUUUAAAUAAAAACAUGGAGAAAAAAGAAAAUAAAAAACUUUCAAUUUUAAUUAGACAGAUAAUAGAGGGUAAUGGGGAUGUCCUUCAAUAUGCAGUGAAUAAGUGUUUCUUUUAUUGGUUAAUGUGCAACGCUGUUUAAAGCAAUGAACAGGCAGUAUGUGGACAGGCAGAAAAUGCUAUUUGGUCCAGCAGACUAGGAGAAAUUUGGAAGAGAAACACAGAGAGUGAACCUCAAUACAAACACCAUGCUACUACUAGGUAGUCAGGAGGCUCAGGUAUUCAAUUGUAAGCAAAGACCACAUGGAACUACACACAUUAAUAAAAUGGGUUAUCAUCUAUGAGACCGCUUGGCACAAAGAGGCAUGAGACUUACGCCAAAAUGUUUAUACUUAACAUAAGCUUCUGUGUGUUUUCUUGUGAGUGAAUGGUCUUGGUUUGUGCUAGAGAGAAACUUCUGCAUACACCAUUCUGUUUGUGGAGUGACAAGUGAUUUUCUCUGUUUUGUAUGCAGAGAUGGCUCAGAAUCCCUAUUCUCAAGUUCACAUGAUCACCAAUGUGUACUUUGGAGGUGGGAAGGGAAUAAGGGGAGGGCAGAGGCAAAAAGAGCUCUGAGACAAUGGAGUAGUAGAGGAGGGCAAUCAAGGAGAUGUUUUGAUAUAGGAAGACAGUACAGCUAUGGAGAAAGGUCUGGAAUAAGGAAAAUUUUAGGGGAUUCACAGGGAUGACUCUACUUAGAAUGCAAGCAGUGGUAGAGCAGAUGCCAUUGAUGACCUUCCCCUAUAAUGAGAUAGACUUCUACCUUGGAUACAAAUCCUAGAGCUCCAUCCAGUAGCUUUUCAAAGCAGAUACAUGCACCCACACGUAAGCACUGAACCAUACUCCUGGAAUCCAGUUUUGAAGAGGGAGGAGCAAUGAGCAAAGGAGCCCAGAUGGUGCUGCAAAAUUUCACUGUAGGAAUCAAUCCCUCUAAAUAUGGGUGUCAGCUAGGAGGCCAAGACCGUCUAUGGGAACUCCAGCAGUGGAGGCAGUCUUCAACCCUAGAGCACAAAGGGACUCUGGGAGUCCAUUCCUUGUAGAGAGGUACUACUACACACCAGUUAAAGCAAGGAAGGCCUAUGCCCUUCAGCAAAUAACAUGACAGAGUCUGAAGGUCCCUGGUAAUUGCCUCCCUUUCCCUAGGGAGUAUUGGGGAAUGGUUUGUGGAGCCUGGUGUGGAACAUGGGAGGAAGGGAGGGCCAGGUAUUGGGGGAUGGACAUUUACAUAUAAGUAGUAAUUACAGAAUUUAAAUAAAAAAACAUCAAAAAAGAAAAAAAAAACUGUGCUGACCACAAGAGUCAGUGACUAACAGCAAUAUGCAAAUUUCUAUUCAGGUGUUUGGCAUCCUGAAACCACUUGGUGUGUUUUAUAUUAGAAACACUCACACACACACACACACACACACACACACACACACACACACACACACACACACGUGGAAUACAAUUAAAGCAGAUCUUAAUGUUGUCAAAAUUAGUUUGAAAAACACAUUGUUCAUUUUGAAUGUGCUCACAAGACAGAGCCAGUCAUGUACUGCAAGGUGGGUGAGAGAGAGCCCCAAACAUGUGUCACUCAUAUUUACAGCCUUGCUACAUCACUCUUAAAAUGUCCAACUAUAUUUUUCAGCAUCAUUUGUGUAAGCCCCCCAAUGUGGGCAUGGACAGCCUCACAGUUGUCAGCCCUCAAAUUGGUGUGGCAACUAUUCUCCACUACAACAGACAAUGGGAAAUAGAUUCUUUGUAACCACUCUUAGCGCUGAAAUGAUGGUACAGUUCUUGUGGUUAAAUUAUUAUGUAUACUCUUUCAUUAUUAAUUUUGUGUAUCUAAACUCUUAUGUAUAAGAAAUAGUUUCAGAUGAAUAUACAUAAAUAAAUGAAACUCAUUAAAAUUAUUAUUGGGGUUUGUUGUCUGUAAA
ensembl:lncRNA